rnacentral:rRNA from 1 species
GAUGAACGCUGGCGGCGUGCCUAAUACAUGCAAGUCGAGCGAACAGACGAGGAGCUUGCUCCCCUGACGUUAGCGGCGGACGGGUGAGUAACACGUGGAUAACCUACCUAUAUGACUGGGAUAACUUCGGGAAACCGGAGCUAAUACCGGAUAAUAUAUUGAACCGCAUGGUUCAAUAGUGAAAGACGGUUUUGCUGUUACUUAUAGAUGGAUCCGCGCCGCAUUAGCUAGUUGGUAAGGUAACGGCUUACCAAGGCAACGAUGCGUAGCCGACCUGAGAGGGUGAUCGGCCACACUGGAACUGAGACACGGUCCAGACUCCUACGGGAGGCAGCAGUAGGGAAUCUUCCGCAAUGGGCGAAAGCCUGACGGAGCAAUGCCGCGUGAGUGAUGAAGGUCUUCGGAUCGUAAAACUCUGUUAUUAGGGAAGAACAAAUGUGUAAGUAACUAUGCACGUCUUGACGGUACCUAAUCAGAAAGCCACGGCUAACUACGUG